GGAGAGUUGGCCGAGUGGCUUAAGGCGCACGCUUGGAAAGCGUGUAUACUAGAAAUGGUAUCAAGGGUUCGAAUCCCUUACUCUCCG
rnacentral:tRNA from 1 species